GACUUUGCCACCCUAACCAACAAAUCCAGAGUAGAAAACUGAAAAAUAAGGGGAAAGAUCAAAAAGUUGAAGACUCUUUUAUUGCUGUUUUCUGGCUGGUGUUUGAUUGUUUUCAAGUCAUUGUUAUGAGGAAGAAUAUGUUUGCAGAAAAAACUUUGGCACUUCAUCUGAGUUCUCACAUUUCCCUCUGUGAACUCCACACCUCUGAUGAAGAACCAAACAGGAAUGGGAGCAGCUGCUCUGUGUGGAGGAGGGCUGCAGAGCAGUCUGUGAGAUGGUUGGCAUCACCACUUGCUGUACUGAAGGCACCAGACAUGGACAUUAAGCUCAGUGAAAAGAAACAGGUAACUCCAUUGAGUC